UUAAACUCGCCGCCGGGUGAGAAGUGCUAAUUUAAGCGACGGAUUUCGUAUCGUUAGGCCUUAGAAGAUACGGAGUGCGUCGCUUUUAUAAU
rnacentral:ncRNA from 1 species